CCUACGUGUGGCAGCAGUGAUGAAUCUUGGUCAAUGGACGAGAGUCUGAACCAUCCAAGUAGCGUGAAGGAUGACUGCCCUAUGGGUUGUAAACUUCUUUUAUAUGGGAAUAAAAUGUUCCACGUGUGUGAUUUUGUAUUUACCAUAUGAAUAAGGCUCGGCUAAAUCCGUUCCAGCAGCCGCGGUAAUACGGAGGAUCCGAGCGUUAUCCGGAUUUAUUGGGGUUAAAGGGACCGUAGGCAGAUUGUUAAGUCAGUUGUGAAAGUUUGCGGCUCAACGGGAAAAUUGCAGUUGAAACUGGCAGUCUAGAGUGCAGUAGAGGUGGGCGGAAUGCGUGGUGGAGCGGUGAAAUGCUUAGAUAUCACGAAGAACUCCGAUUGCGAAGGCAGCUCACUGGACUGCAACUGACACUGAGGCUCGAAAGUGUGGGUAUCAAACAGGAUUAGAUACCCCAGUAGUC
rnacentral:rRNA from 1 species